rnacentral:rRNA from 1 species
CACGUAGGGGGCUAGCGUUGUCCGGAAUCAUUGGGCGUAAAGCGCGUGUAGGCGGCCAGAUAAGUCCGGUGUGAAAGUCAAAGGCUCAACCUUUGAAUGCCGCUGGAAACUGUCUGGCUAGAGUCCGGAAGGGGCGAGUGGAACUCCUGGUGUAGCGGUGAAAUGCGCAGAUAUCAGGAGGAACACCGAUGGCGAAGGCAGAUCUCUGGGCCGUAACUGACGCUGAGGAGCGAAAGCAUGGGGAGCGAACAGG